UACGUAGGGUGCAAGCGUUAAUCGGAAUUACUGGGCGUAAAGCGUGCGCAGGCGGUUUUGUAAGACAGGUGUGAAAUCCCCGGGCUCAACCUGGGAACUGCGUUUGAAACUACAAGGCUAGAGUGUAGCAGAGGGGGGUGGAAUUCCACGUGUAGCAGUGAAAUGCGUAGAGAUGUGGAGGAACACCGAUGGCGAAGGCAGCCCCCUGGGUUAACACUGACGCUGAAGCACGAAAGCGUGGGGAGCAAACAGG
rnacentral:rRNA from 1 species